rnacentral:rRNA from 1 species
AGAGGGUGCAAGCGUUAAUCGGAUUUACUGGGGCGUAAAGCGCGCGUAGGUGGCCAAUUAAGUCAAAUGUGAAAUCCCCGAGCUUAACUUGGGGAAUUGCAUUCGAUACUGGUUGGCUAGAGUAUGGGAGAGGAUGGUAGAAUUCCAGGUGUAGCGGUGAAAUGCGUAGAGAUCUGGAGGAAUACCGAUGGCGAAGGCAGCCAUCUGGCCUAAUACUGACACUGAGGUGCGAAAGCAUGGGGAGCAAACAGGAUUAGAUACCCUGGUAGUCCAUGCCGUAAACGAUGUCUACUAGCCGUUGGGGCCUUUGAGGCUUUAGUGGCGCAGCUAACGCGAUAAGUAGACCGCCUGGGGAGUACGGUCGCAAGACUA